rnacentral:rRNA from 1 species
UACGAAGGGGGCUAGCGUUGCUCGGAAUCACUGGGCGUAAAGCGCACGUAGGCGGACUUUUAAGUCAGGGGUGAAAUCCUGGAGCUCAACUCCAGAACUGCCUUUGAUACUGGAAGUCUUGAGUUCGAGAGAGGUGAGUGGAACUGCGAGUGUAGAGGUGAAAUUCGUAGAUAUUCGCAAGAGCACCAGUGGCGAAGGCGGCUCACUGGCUCGAUACUGACGCUGAGGUGCGAAAGCGUGGGGAGCAAACAGG